UCACGCCAUGCCCCCACCGGGCCCUGCAAGACCCAUGAAGGGACCCUGGAGCCUUUACCCGCUGGGCAAAGGGGGAGCUGGAAAUAGCAGGUGAGAAUUUAAUCCACCAGAUUGUUUCUCCCCGUUACUGGGAGCAUCUGAAAGGUGAUGCCGCCGCAUUCCUGCAGUAUUCAUGAAGUCCGGGUGACGGCAGGCACGGGGACAGCAAGGGAGCUGGGGACAGCGGGGCAGGGAGAGGGGCACAGCAUCCGUUUGUCCGUCUGUCCACAGGGAGGCAUGCCAGUGGCAGCCAGGUGCUCAGGGCCAUGCACCUGAGGGCCGCCUGCAUGGAGAACGCCACCGUGCUGCCGGCGGUCGACGUGGACAAGGGCUUUGCCAUGGCCUUUGUAGUGCUCAUGUGCCUCUUCCUCCUGGCCAUGAUGGUGCGGUGCGGCAAGCUCAUUGUGGAUCCUUACAGCGCCAUCCCUACCUCCACCUGGGAAGAGGAGCAGAUCAACUGAGGACCCCCGAAACCCCCAGGGACCACAGCUCCCCAGCAUACCCCACAGCCCUCCCUCACCACAGGGUGCUCCAGGGCAGCCCAGGGACCUCCAACAACCCCCGGUCCCCCAGCCCCCCCAGAACCACCCAGCACCCCAGGUCCCUCCAGCACUGUGGAGGACCCAGGACACCUAGAGCUCCCCAUCGCCCCCCAGGACCCUCAGAGCUCUCCAUCCC